GGCACGCACAGCAUCCUGGGAGGUGUAGUCUUCUGCACCCGCGCCCUCCGGUGCUACGGGGAGUUUACGCAGACUGGGCCUUGCCGUCUACCAUGUGUAGCCUGGGCGCAGCACCUGCUCCUUCAUUAUGAAACCUCUGGCGGCCCCCGCUCGCCAUGGAGUCCUGGGCCAGCAGGAGAGAUGCUCAGAGGACUGACGCUGAGAAACGGCGCUACUGGUGUUCAUGAUUCGAAACCAGAGCCUGGCGGUGCAGCCCGGCUUGAUGCCCAAGGAGUUUGUGCAGCGUCUCUUGAGCGGACUCGGGUGGGAACCGGGAGAGCAGGAAUUGACAGUGGGUGGGGACAGGCCCGCUGCUGAGCAGGGGGGCUCCCGGACUGGCCUCAGGGGCUCGUCGGCGACAGAGGCACAGCAUCUUCCUUAAGGCCACAGGCACGAAACAUCCCCGCUUCCGUAUGCCUGACCCCGCCGGGCAGCUGCGCAGCUGUGGAGCUGAAACCCCACGGAGCAGCGGCCGGGAGAAGCGCUUUUCUGGGUUGAAGCCGGUCGCCGCCUCCUGUCUCAGGAACCCACCGUGCUGCGAGUUUUCUCCAUCACACGCACUCGCGACCCUGACACAGGCAGGGCAGCCUGAGGGGCAGCGCAGUCUAAGAGCUUGGGCGCCUAGCACUGCAGUCUGGGCCUUCGAAGGGCCGACCUAGCCACCCAGCACCGAGUCGGUGAUGACUUUCGGGCAGCGCUUGUCUCUGUUCUCCGAAGUCGCGAUGUUAAAUUUUGAGAAAGGGGAAGAGUCGCUGAGGCUCUGGAAACUUGUCAGUGGUAGGCCUCCGAUGUGGACUGGUUCCUGAGAGUGAUAUGAUAUUAACUUGACAUCAGAGACUUUCUGUGGUGAUGUGGCCUGAGGCAGCCCUGCCCUGGUGUGCUGUGGGUAGUGCCUGGGCCUGGCCCUCUGGCCAAUUACCCUUCUCAGGCAGCUCCACAUCAGGACCCGCUCUCUCCUCCAUUCCCCAGGAGGAAAGGCAGUGCUGAGGGAGUUCCAGAGUGCUUUGAUUUUAUUAGCUGGGCCUUUGAAAUCAAACUUUGUGGGCAGGAGUUUUUCGAGGUAAAAGCAAGAGUGUUAGUGGAACUAUCCUCGAAGAACCUUAGAAACAGUUUAAACCGAAGGCCCCUUACCGUUUUCAUAGAUCUUUUCUCAAAGUGGGUGGAGGAGGAUAUUUAAAGUACCAAUAAUGUAAGUUUAAUGAACAGAGGCAGUUACUGAAACUUUGCUGGCAGAGGGAGGAACAGUGUUACUAGUCUGGGGAAGACAGGACAGCUGGACCCAAGUCCCUGCAUGGCGCGCAGAGCGCCUGAGCUCACGCUUCAUACACAUGUCCAUCUUCUGAGGAGCGCUCUGCGGCUCAGGUGUGGAAGGGUGCGCUCCGAGAAGACUGGGGACAUUGGCUGUGAAGUGGCUUGGGAUCAGGCCGUUCAUAGAAAACACAAGUGGCCUUUCCUGAGCCAUGUUACAGAUGGCAGCCAGGAGUCCCCAGGGCAUCUGGCUGUGGACCUGGCGGCCACUGAUGCCAAGGCCUUGUCCACUGACCUCCCAAGCUUCCUUACUGGACAGGCUGAGUGAGGAAAUGGCCUGGCUCCACGUAAUCGCUGGCUCGGGCCACACUUGAGCAGAAAUGGAUGUCACUUCCUGAGAAAAAUCUGCGGAUUUCCAAAUGAGCCAAAUUACUAAAUUCACAAGUAAUUUUGUUUUUGAUUCUUCAAAAUAUUUGUGGGUUUUUUUAAAGUGGCUUUUCUUCGGUACAGAACAGACAAAAGUAUUGAAUUGAGGGCUUUUUUUUGCUGCCAUUUGCACAUGUAGUAAACUCAGUCACUAUGUUUUGUUGGAAUUGUUCAGGUCUCGAGGGCUUUUUUGUCUCAGUGGUAUCUCAGCUGCUGGCACAUAAUAGGCAUACAGUGAACACAGUUGACCUUCUCAUUGAGUCGUAUUUCGGAUUAAUGAAGUCACAUUUGGCCCAAGCAUAAACCCUUGAAGCUGGCGGCCUGUAUGUACUUUGUCCGCUACCCUGCCUUUUUCAGUGUGGUCAGCGCAUAGCACCGUCAUGGGAAUCACCAGAACUGAACCCAGCCCUCGGCUGUGCUGUUACAGGUGUACUGUGCUUUUCAGUUAGCACCAGAGGGAUCCUGCGACUUUGUACGUAUGGAAAUAUAAAGAUCUUGUGAGAUUUGGAAAUAAAGCAGAUUAUUAACAUUUCAGAAAUGAUUUAUAAAACUGAAUGUUUGAAGACUACAGUGGAGCAGUAGUUGUAUAGAUUGUAAACUGAUGUUAUAUUAAAGUCUUAUAAACCUCCCAAGUUGAGGAAAAUGUUGAGAUAGCAUUAAAAGUCUCUUUACUCAAUUUAUCAACAUUUUAGUUUUGUACCAUAGAGCCUUCCCCUCCCAAUUUUGCCCACCUUCGAUGCCUCUGAAAAUCCUACAAAUUUGGGAUGCCUUUGAAACUUUGUAAAUUUUUAAAACAGGUCACUUUAAGUGAAUUUGAUGGUAUCAAACUGAGAAUUUGUUCUCCAGCUUUACAUCAUUUUUAUGGAAAUCACUGAUCAUGUGAUAUGCCUUACCCCUGAGUCAGACCUGUCAUGGCUCAGGUGGUAAGAGAGGAAUGUUACACAGAAGGAAGUGGCUGGCUAAAUUUCAGUGGUUAGGAUUUAGUGUGUGUGUAUUGAAUAGUAGGCACUGUAUUAUACAUUAUCUGACUUAGUUCCUUACACAAACCUCUCAAGAUAUAUUAUAAUCUUUUUUAGAGAUGAAAACUUGUUUUUCCAGAGACUGAUGAGUGGCAGAGCCAUUGGUUGGCCCCUGAGUUUGUCUGGUCAUUCUUUUUUUUUUUUUUAGUACUGGGGAUCGAACUCGGGUCCUUGCGCUUGCGCAGCAGGGUGUCUGGUCAUUCUUAAUGUGGGCCAGUUUAGUCCAAUUUGGUAUGGAAUCAUGGCAGCUGGCUUUAAACCAGUGGAAUAUGCAACUUGAAAACCAUGCUGACUUUUCCGUACCCCUCUUUCUGGGCAUGUGUGACAUGCCAGUCAGUGCUAAAGUAAAAGAGCAAUAAUGCCACGAUCAGAAUUACCUUACACAGCUUUCCCUUGCCUGCCCCAGGCAUGGACAGUGGUCCUUCAUCUUGACGAGCCGCAGUGAUGAGGGAAGGGUGCCCCUGAGUCCACUUCUUCCUCUCCAGCUUUUCUGUGUUCGGCCUCCACCAGCAGUCUUCUCCUUUUUGCUGCUGACUUUUUGAUACUGUCUGCUGCCACUGGUUUAAUCUGAAAUUGGAAUCUGUGGGUGCAGAGGACCAGUUAGCUCCUUCUCUUAGAGAUGGGGUCUCCCUAGCCUUGGACUCCUGGGCUGUCCUGCCUCCUCCUCCCAAGUGCCUGGGACUAAGGUGUGUCACCGUGCUUCGUUUACUGUUCAGCUCUCUAAAUGUAUGCUUCUGCCUCACCGUCCCCGGCCCGUUCCCUGUGAUGACAACUAUUGGGCCCACGCAGGUGCUGUGGCUCGCUUCCCCUAUGAGCCCUGGGUGUACACUGCAGCAGUGCUGACCCUAGGUGUUUGUCACCCUUUUUGGGUGGAGAUGCCCACUCGUCUGAUCUUUAUUUUGUCUGUUGUGACAGAUGUAUUUCCCGAGGUGGAAUAAACUUGCCUCUGGGGAGGGUUUCCACUUUGCCUGCUUGCAGAGAGGCCUGAGAGGAGGCAGUGUCCUAUUGUUUUAUUCAAGGACAAGGUCAUCUUGCUUUGGCUUUGGGCCAAGAAAUGCUGGCAAUAAAUAAUAGAUCUUUUAGUCCCAUGAGGAGGGAAGUAUAUUUAGAAAGUUGCCAAGGCAUUACCCAGACUGCUUAGGUGUAAGACUGAAGAAGCCCUACCUCCUCAGAGGAUACACUACAGCAAGAUCGUUGCUGUUAGCCAGAAGUAUGUGUUAGAUCCGUACUUGUCAAGUAUAGCUUUAAAGUGAUCUGUUUAAAAAGUGACCACCUAAAAAUAAAAUCAGUUAAGAUUAGUGAAAAAGACAAUGAUGGAAAGUUGUCAUUAGAAGCCCUUUAACUGCCAUAAGCUCACUGAUCCUAGUUUCUCUUCCAUUAUAAGUAUCGAUUUUACAUGGGAGAAGUAGUGGCAUGCAACCUGUACUGAAAUAAAAGCUGUGUGAG
ensembl:lncRNA